UAUAUCUAUAUCAUCUAAAUCUAUAUCUACACACACACACACACACUCUCAUCCUACCCCGGGUUGUGAAAACUGUCUUUCUGUUUCAGUGUUUCCCAAAAGUAGUUCUGCUUCAUCCCAAUUCUUCUUUCUUUUCCAGGCUAUAUUUAUAGGAUGACUGUAAGCCAUAGGAAGAGAGAUUUACUGUCAUCUUCAAUGAACUACCUGGCAAGCCCUAUUGAUGUUACAUAUCUAAGCAAAGACCAAACUAAUUGUGGAAAAACACACAUCUUUAUCUAGGUCAUUAAUACAUCAAGCGAAACUCCAUAAAUAUGGUCUCAUUCGGUGGCUUGGGAUCUCUGUUAGUACUCUUAUGAUCUCCGAAGGCCUCUUUGGAUUUGACACACCAAGGCAGUAUUUAUGCCUCUUUGGCAUAUCCUUAAUAUUUCAAUGGUGACAUUGUCCUUAUAGUCCUUCGAGUUCCCUCCCCGCCAUAAAAGAGAAGCAGGUCCCAAAGCUAAACGAAAUGUAUGAGGACUACAGACAUGAAGCAGACACACAUCAGGUGCAGCAGGACGCCUGCUUUGCGUCAGCUUUCUACCUACUGCCUUUCAAACAGGCAGCAAGACAAUCCUUCAUUUUACCUGUUUGGAUGCUGAACAGGCCUCUUUUCAUACAGCAGACAUUAACCAGUGAAGGUGGACAGGUGUUCUCCAGAAACGCUUGGACCAGGGACGUUUGGAAACUUGCUCGUUAUCUGGCAAUCAGAGCACAAACAUGCAAUUUAUCCCCCUGCCUACCUAUAUUCCACUCCUCAGUCAGGUGCAGGCUACUUUGACAUUUACAGGAUGGGUCGUGGUUCUGCCAAAAUCCCAUUCAUUCCAGUGGUAGAGACUGAAACGGAGCUUUAAAGUACAGACCGCGACUGUGAAGAGAAAAGAGAAAAGGUAAGUGUGGAGAAGCUCUGUGUCUCCUUAGCUGAGCCCAACAUUUUGAGAAUCUCCACCGUUAUUAUUUAAACAGCAUCUAUAUUUCUGCAUGAAAUAUCCUCUGUAAUGUUGAACAAGACCCAGAUACCAAAAUCCGUAAACAUGCAUUGCUGCAACAUGAGAGAAGUGGACUCACUUCCAGAAAUCAUAGUGUCCAGAUCUGGGGCCGAAAGCUAAAAAUAGCUAAAACAAACAAGGAUAGAUUAUUUCAGUGAAGGGCCGUUUAAUGGAUACAUGUAACUUCCUAGCAUUUUGUAAAUAUAUGUUUUUAAUGGUAAAUGGAAAAAAAGCAGUAACAAAUUAGAAAUCAGUUAAUAAAAGCAUCUUUCUCCAUGCAAGACAUUACGAUUGUAUUUAAACAAUUCUCAUUUUUAAAUGUUGCCUUUGCUGCUGCUAGUCUGAAGUCAAGUUCACCAUAUUACCUAAGGCUGCAAUGCACACUUAGUAAGGAAUAAAUCCCAUUGGGCCCAGUAGGACUUACUUCUGACUAAACAUGCAUAGGAUUGUGCUGCAUAUGGUAUGAACUAAUUAGUGUGUGUGUGUGUGUGUGUGUGUGUGUGUGUGUGUAGGGGGGAACAGGAUUAUGUAUUUCAUGUUGAGCCCAACACGUGGAAAAUAUCAAGAUAGGAAUGCAGUGUCUACAUUAGCUAAGAAUGUCGUAAAUGUGGGCCAGAUCCCAAACUUGCCAUAGUAAGACGAUUCAGAGGAAAGGAUUAGGACAGAGAAAACUGACUACUACAUGUAUUCCUGGAAAUUAAUUUCAUAUGAAAAUUUAUUUAGCAAGUGAUAUAAAUAACAUUAUUCUUCACUAUUGUUGUGCCAUGCCAUAGACAGCAGUUAUGAGCCUUCAUAAAUCUGUGAGAACUCAGACAGAUAUUGAGGGACAAGCAUCACUCUUCACUUGUUCACAUUAACUCAUAAAACUAACACAGCUAUCUUCUUUUGGCCACUAGGCCAAAGAUCCUCUUGCUCUCUCUUGUCCCAGCCACUGUUUAUGCUCUGAUCUUCAAGCUGUAUAUGAAACUGGCUGAUGAUGCGCUCAACAAUUUUGUGGGUAUCAGGCAUAUUACUUUUUGAAAUAUGGCAAGCCUACAGCAUCUUGUGUUCCUGUCUCUUUUUCUGCCCUUUUUUUAAGAUAUGGCGGCCAUUUUUGUGUUACAUUACACAACUUGCAGCAGCCAUUUGGUGACUAGCACCUACCUACAACAUUUUCUCUAAAUUUCAAAUGUCCUCCCUGGUCCAAAGAGGACGGCAACCCCAGCUUAAUCACUCAAGGUUAACGAAUUUGCAUGUUUUCAAAAGAAUCCGUGGAUUAGAACAUUCCCAAAGGAACAAAGCUUCCCAGGUUCUCGUUUUAAAAUGUCAAAGAUGAUUUGUGUAUCUGAAGAAGUGUGCAUGCACACGAAAGCUUAUACCCAGAACUAUUAGGAUAUAAUUCCAUUCCACCUUAAAAGGGUACAGGGAUGACGUUUGUGUAUCACAUGCCUGUUUACUCCCAGCACUGUCUGCUGGGAACUUUCGUUGUGUAUAGCUUUUGUGCUAGCGCUGUUUUGCUGGACACGAAGGCAAGCAGUUAUGGUUUCCUUUGUUCCUGAACUAUGCUGAAUAAAUGCUGUAAAUAUGCUUGCACAUCUCUCUCUGUCCACCUCUUUUGUUGUGGAUGAUUUAUACACUCUGCUGACAGAGUGUGCACAGGUCUUGGAACGUAUCUGAGGCUCGUGUUGCUGACUGACUGAUGCUGUUCCAUGGGAGACGGGUGAUCGUCCAGAGCCAGCUGGGGACUUGCCUGAUGCCCCGUCUCCCUGGCAGUAUCACAACAAGAAAAAACUUAGUUGGUCUCUAAGGUGCUAAGGGAGGGACACGGGUAGCGCUGUGGGUUAAACCACAGAGCCUAGGACUUGCCAAUCAGAAGGUCGGCGGUUCGAAUCCCUGCGAUGGGGUGAGCUCCCAUUGCUCGGUCCCUGCUCCUGCCAACCUAGCAGUUUGAAAGCAUGUCAAAGUGCAAGUAGAUAAAUAGGUACCGCUCUGGCGGGAAGGUAAACGGCGUUUCCCUGCGCUGCUCCGGUUCGCCAGAAGUGGCUUAGUCAUGCUGUACCAAUCAAGCAAGAUGAGCGCUGCAACCCCAGAGUCAGUCGCGACUGGACCUAAUGGUCAGGGGUCCCUUUACCUUUUUAAGGUGCUAAGGGACAACUUUUUAACUUUUAUUUAUUUAUUUUGACUGCGUCAGAGCAACACGGCUACCUACCAGAAAGAUGAUUUGUGUCACAGUCUGUCCAUUGUUGAAUGCAAAAUCCUACAUAUUAAUAGGAAAAUCAUUCUUCAAGUGUGGGUAAGCAAAAUGGCACCAUCUAUACAGAAGAGAGAAGUCUCAGGAGGCUUGGAGAAACCUCAAAGUUUGCAGAAAUGCCACGACAUAUUUUUUUUAAAAAAAGAUCCUAAUGUGGGCGAGAUUCCCAAGACAUCGCAGUGGUGACUGAACAUGCUCAGUGGCCACAGAAUGAUGUAUGUUGGGAUGAGAUGGCAAAGUGGAACACAGGUGAGAAGAGUGCUCAGGUCAUGUUUGUGGGAUUCCUGUACACAUCUGGUUAGUCACUGUUGAGAACAGGAUGUCAGGGCAGAUGAGCCUGCAGGGAAGCUCUUAGGCUCAAACUGGGAUUAUAUUCAGAUGGCAUCGCACAUAUUUAGUUCAUUAAAAGAUGAACUAAAUAGUAUAUUGCCCCCAUUGCUGUUGUUGUUUAGUCGUUUAGUCGUGUCCGACUCUUCGUGACCCCAUGGACCAGAGCACGCCAGGCACUCCUGUCUUCCACUGCCUCCCACAGUUUGGUCAAACUCAUGCUGGUAGCUUCGAGAACACAGUCCAACCAUCUCGUCCUCUGUCGUCCCCUUCUCCUUGUGCCCUCCAUCUUUUCCAACAUCAGGGUCUUUUCCAGGGAGUCUUCUCUUCUCAUGAGGUGGCCAAAGUAUUGGAGCCUCAGCUUCACGAUCUGUCCUUCCAGUGAGCACUCAGGGCUGAUUUCCUUCAGAAUGGAUUAGGUUUGAUCUUCUUGCAGUCCAUGGGACUCUCAAGAGUCUCCUCCAGCACCAUAAUUCAAAAAUAAUUCCCAUUGCCCCAUGGGAUAUCUGAUUUGGGGUCUUUUUGCUGUCUACCAUGAGCCAUUUUUGUCAGACACACCAGGGGGCUCCACAGUGGUUUGGAGAGUUUUCACUGGCAGAGUUUGGCACAGGCAAGCAGUGGGCAGGGAUGGAGAAGAAAUUUGAUUCACUUCACAUUUAAAAGCGAACCUAACCUAAUCCACACAUUCCAAAACAAUACAAAAACUGAAACAGCCAUCAUUCAAAAUUCACAAUUUUCCAAAUUUUGUAAUGAAAGUCUAUUCUUGAGAAAGGUUCUUACAGGUAAAGUCUACACCCGAUAAAUUUUUCAGCUGGUAAACACGCCAGUCUUAAUGCAACUGAGUUCAACUUCGUUGUGGUGAUUUUAUCAUCAUUGAAACUGCGCUAAAAGGAGAGAGUGGAAGUGUGUAUCUUUCUUGAAGCGAGAGUUCAUCCAUCAGGAAAGAGAUCGGAUUAAAUCUUUACAGAAUGCAUUAUAAAUAUUUUCAUUAGAACAGCUUGAAUAUCUGACGUAGAUAAAAAUUAAGCACAUAUUUAGCCAUGUACUCUUCCUUAACCUUUUACAGAUCAGAUGCUUCAUGCUGUUUAUCAGCUUUAAUCAAAUUAUCAAGCAUGUGUAAAUGGAAAGGGGGGAAAAACCAGUUGGAUCCUCUACUGCACAUUGAUCAACAAUGAACCUUGUUCAUUUCAAGGGCCACUUCACUGGCAUCCACGUUCCAUAAAAGAGCAAUGGCGUGAACACAGAAGACAUUCAUUUAUAUAAGGGAUUAAAUGCAAAGAGGUUCAUGGGGUUUCUUAGGUAAAAUGCUUUGGUGAGAAUUAUUUCUGAAGCUUGCUAGGCACAGUAAGCUGGGGUGGGGUGGUAGGACUGCUUGAAAUGAUUAUGUUGUGUGUUACAUAAGAAUUGGUUAUGUUUUUCUGUUUGUUGGGCCUGCCAGGGAAGUUAACAAAGCUUCAGUUGCAUAUGUGAGUCCGUAUUGAUGCUUUUGAAUUAUGAGGCUGGAGGAGACUCUUGAGAGUCCCACGGACUGCAAGAAGAUCAAACCUCUCCAUUCUUAAGGAAAUCAGCCCUGAGUGCUCACUGGAAGGACAGAUCGUGAAGCUGAGACUCCAAUACUUUGGCCACCUCAUGAGAAGAGAAGACUCCCUGGAAAAGACCCUGAUGUUGGGAAAGAUUGAGGGCACAAGGAGAAGGGGACGACAGAGGACAAGAUGGUUGGAUAGUGUUCUCGAAGCUACAAACAUGAGUCUGACCAAACUGCGGGAGGCAGUGGAAGACAGGAGUGCCUGGUGUGCUCUGGUCCAUGGGGUCACAAAGAGUCGGACACGACUAAACGGCUAAACAACAACAACAAUAAUUCCAAAAAAGAGGGGCAGGCAUUUUUCAGCCCAAAGGGACCUAGUCCAUCAUUGGCAACCUUUCAGGGCCUGCAUGCUGUUGGUGAGUGUGGCCACAAUCAAAAGUGGGGCAAAGCAACAGAAGUGAUUCUAAACCGUACAAGACCUUGCAUUCGAGCGGCAUAAAGGUCAGAAGUUUCUAUUAGGGACGUGGAAAUCUGUUGAUUUCUGACUCUCCCAUUUUCUCAUUUUUCCAAUCUUAAAUUCAUUUCUCCACAUUUCCAUAUAAGUUUGAGGGUUGCUGUUUUUUAAGUUCCCAUGAAAAUUCAUCAGCACUGUUGUGUCAAUUUAUCCUAAUACAGUGGUACCUCGGGCUACAUACGCUUCAGGUUACAUACGCUUCAGGUUACAGACUCCGCUAACCCAGAAAUAGUACCUCGGGUUAAGAACUUUGCUUCAGGAUGAGAACAGAAAUCAUGCUCUGGUGGCGCAGCAGCAGCAGCAGCAGGAGGCCCCAUUAGCUAAAGUGGUGCUUCAGGUUAAGAACAGUUUCAGGUUAAGUACGGACCUCCGGAACAAAUUAAGUACUUAACCUGAGGUACCACUGUAUUCACAUUUUAAAAAUGCAAUUCUUCCUAAUUAGUGACAGCCGUUUCCCGCAAUAUAAUGCAUUUUGGGGUGUUCUUUUCACUAAUAUAUAUAUAUAUUAAUGCACACUCUACUUUAGUAUUUGCAUUUUUUAAAACACAUUGGUUGGUUGGAGAACUACAUUGCAAAAUUCUGGGUUUGGCCCUGGAAGUUUAUGUGGUUUCUAUACCUAAGGGCAAUCAAAUAUAUAGCUUAACCUAUAACAAAAUAGGCAUCCAUGGAAGUGACAGGAGAGUAAAUAGAAAAAUUAUGGCAGGGCAAGAAAAUAGAACUCUUAAAGAAUUUAUUAUACAAUGACUACUUAAUCUGGGUGCUGUGUUCCCUAAUUAAAUAUAUGUUUAUAUUUUAAGUGUCUAUGUUUUGGCCUGGGUAGAUCCUAACAUAAAUAUAGCUCACCCCAUGUAUCUUGUGUAGAAGUAUUUGAGUAAGAAUAAAAAUGGAGAAUCGUACUGCUUUCUUGCUCUAAGUCUGUAGGCUGCUGCAGCAGGUAUUUUGAGGGAAGUUGGGCCUCAGCAGAGUAGCUGAGGGAGUUAACGUACUGACUACCUGAGGACAGGCCCUUGUGGGAGAAUCUGGGAACAUCACAAUGGCUAUAAGGUUGUGUCGCAUCAGUUCACCUCCUGAAAUUAUUUUGGGAAAGCGGAGGAGGUCUCUUGGAAGUGUUCCUAUGCUGCUUGUUGUGUUUUUGUAGCCCAUACACACAAAGAGAAGGAUAUGAAUUACAAGGAAGUAUCUCAAAAGAGACAUCACCUUGCCAACAAAGGUCUGUAUAGUUAAAGCUAUGGUUUUCCCAGUAGUGAUGUAUGGAAGUGAGAGCUGGACCAUAAAGAAGGCUGAUCGCCAAAGAAUUGAUGCUUUUGAAUUAUGGUGCUGGAGGAGACUCUUGAGAGUCCCAUGGACUGCAAGAAGAUCAAACCUAUCCAUUCUUAAGGAAAUCAGCUCUGAGUGCUCACUGGAAGGACAGAUCGUGAAGCUGAGGCUCCAAUACUUUGGCCACCUCAUGAGAAGAGAAGACUCCCUGGAAAAGACCCUGGUGUUGGGAAAGAUUGAGGGCACAAGGAGAAGGGGACAACAGAGGACGAGAUGGUUGGACAAUGUUCUCGAAGCUACCAGCAUGAGUUUAACCCAACUGCGGGAGGCAGUGGAAGACAGGAGUGCCUGGUGUGCUCUGGUCCAUGGGAUCACGAAGAGUCAGACACAACUAAACGACUAAACAACAACAUCUCAACUGACCAUAUCAAUCAGCAAUGAAACCUCCAUUGGAACCGCAAUAAAUUCUUCUGACUGAGCGGACUGGAUCCUGCAGCUCUUCAGGACAAGUUGCCAAUCCAUUGCCUCACUCAAGCAAAAACCAUCAUGACCACAGCAAAACUCCCAAGAGGCAGAAAAUGACAUUUCCUUCCCUUGUGGCUUUAAGAGGGGGAGAGGUUUUUAAUUUCCAAGUCCUGGAUUUUUCCUGGUUUCAUUUGAGAAAGAGUCCAGACUUGAAUGGUAAGCAGGAAUCUUCUCAGUGCAGCAAACCUGCAAAUGAAGAAGGCUUCAAACCAGCUUGGUUUUCUACGUAAAUCUGCUAGUUGAGGGACCCACAACUGAAAAUUGUCAGGAAACUGAUCUCCCCUCUAGAGCCUUUGGUGAGAAAAAUGGUAUUAGUCAAGCCACAGAAAUAAGUCUUGAAAGCACUUUAGACAAGGGAAAGAUGCUGAUAAGCGAUGUUGAUGCAGAGGAUCUGAAGGAAACUUUCACCCGAGAAGUGACCAGGUGUUUGCUACCGGUUCAGCUAAAUGGAAGCCACCAUUUGGCUCUCUUUGGCAGAAACUGCUAACUUCAGAGCAAAAGGGUCUCAAUUCAAGUCUUAACCACAAUAAUAUGGAAGGAGCACACAAAGUAUAUUUAACCUCCAGAUGAGGGAGGAAGGCAGUAAUUGGGUUUGUCUGUUCUCAUGUCUGGCCACCAGCUGACAAUUCAACAGCUGACCUCUCUGAACCAAUCCUGACUGCAAAAAGGAAGGCCUGGGUUGAGGUCACUUUUGGGUGGGCAAAGGUGUGGGCUGGUUCCUAUUUAGACUGAACUGCUUCACCCAUCUCUAGUUACUCAAUGUCAUUACAAAGUACUCAAAUAACAUAACAUGCCACAUGCUGAGAACAUAAAAUGCACUCGGGACUGUAAGGUUCCAAAGUGUCCAAUGUGUUUGCAACAUGUAGGGGAAAGGAAACAUCAGAGUGCUUGAACCAAGUUCAGUGAAUCCAAACGCUUUUUGUUUGACAAAUUUUCUGAAGAAAUGCCCAUUUUUGUCGCUCACCUAGGCUUGCUACCUGUUCUUGAUUUCAAGAAAUGGCUUUUCCUUUCCCCUUAAAAUAGAUUCUUUAAAAAAGAAUUUUUAAAAAACAGCUGCUCCAGAGGUUCAUACAUAACACAAUGUGACUGCCAUUUCCAUUCUGACAUAUAUUAACCUGAGAAAAGUUGUUGUGUUGAAAACAGUGUUGAAAACAGACGAAGAGGGCACUGGCAUGCACAUAAGUGCACCCACAACAUCCCACAGGCACAUGCACAUAGAAGUCUCCCUAUGAGCUGAAGCCCCAACUAAUCAGCAUACCUGAUUUCCAAACACAUGCAACUGAAUGUGCUUAGAAACUUGUGCCCAACAAUGAAAUGACAGUGGUACAUUCUCUAUCAAAGAACCCAUUAUAAUUAUUGGUCAGUGCCUAAUAUUCCACUUUUGAGUAUGGUGCUUGAGCAUUUAGAGGCAACUAGGGAUUUAUGAGCAUGCCUCAAUGCAUUCCAAUAUUCUGUUGCAUUUUCAUCUGCUAUUUUCCAUUAAAAUAUAUGCAAUCAACAGACAUUUGCAAACCAAUUCCCGUACUUUUCCUAUGUGUCCCCUUUCAAAGUUAAUGGCAUGGCUAACAGUCCAUCUCAAAGUCAUAUAUGUCUUCAAACAUAACUGUGUCUAACCAGAAGUACGUCCCAUUAAUUGAACGAGGCUUGCUCCCACGAUACAAUUCCAGCCACUCUUGCUACCUUAAUUUCAUAGUUCAUAGCCCUCCAGUUGUUACCCUACUUUAUUUCCCUCAUUCAGGCAUCAGUGAGGGACAGUUUAAUUAUAAGUCAAGUAAACUGUGGUGGGCGGAAGGAACAUUAAAUUUAAUUUUACUUUUAAAAUGAGAAUUUAGGAUGCUCAAAAAUGAGCAGUCAAAUCCAGAUGGUUCUCCCCACUUUGACAGAGAAAAGGGGUGAGGGUACUAUUUUGCGCUGCCUCUUGCCUUUCUUUGUAGGUAAAUCUCAAAAAGCAGUAUUGGGGGGGACUUGUGCUCAACCCCUUGAUACCUGUGGUCUAUAGGGUCCUGCAAGAUUUGAUGUUGUUUCCUAUGCUAUUCAACAUUUACAUAAAACCACUGGAAGAAAUCAUUAGGGAACAGGAAUAAUGACCAUGGGAUGGUAUGCUGGUGGCACUAAGCUCCAUAUCUCUCUGCUAUCAUGUCCUACGGCGCCUGUGAGGUUUCUAAAUCAGCAUCUGAUAUGUUUGAAGAAAAUAAACUGAAAGUAAAUCUAGACAAACCAGAAGUGUGGUAACCUACCAGUCCAGGGAGAUGAUGUUCUAGAUGGGGCUGCACUUCCCUUAAAAGAUCAGGUGCAUAAUUUAUUGUUUACACUUGGAACUGACCUUGUUGACAGAGGCUCAGAUGUCAGCUUUGGCCAUGAGUUAUGUCCACAACCUGAUGUAAUAUUUAUUUAUUCAUUCAUUCAUUCAUUCAUUCAUUCCACCCUAUUCAUUUCACUCCAGAGGAACCACAAUACAUGGUGUAAGGGAAUGUAAGCAAUUGUUUGUGGACUGAAAGCAACAGCAACAAUGAAUACUGAUCAUAUUUACUGAGUUGAUUUUCAUUCCAGACGUAGAUAUCAGUGAACACUGGCAAUUUCUGCUCCUGUUUUCAUCAAUUUUUCAGACAUCCAUAGUGAUAGUAGAAAUAACACAGAACUUGAAAAUCAGUGGGAGAUAAGGUAUACAUUGUGUUUGUGUAUAGGACAAGUGAAAGGUGCUCACUUUUUACCCUUUCAGGAUUGUGCAGGUGUAUGUCUUGAGGAUUAAAAGCCCAGAGUAUUAAUUCAAAUGCACUCGGCAUACUCGUACUGUAGAGUGGAAUAAUCUUAUUAUCCCCUUCCAUCUUGUGAUGCGGGGGGAAUGUAACAGAGGUCACUGAUCUGAAUUCUGAGCACAUAAACCUGCAUGAUUCUCAUCUGGCAAACAUUAUAAUUUCCCCAUUUCUAACUGUAAUUUUAUAUAUCUGUUUUACGGAGUCACUUGUUUGGCGAUUAUAAAUUAUGGUAUUUGGGAGAGGCCUGGUGAAGAUAUUCACCUUUUAGUGGCCCAGACUUUUAUGUGUGUGUGAGAAAACAUGUUUUAUGCUUCGAAUUUCUCUCUCUUUUCUUUUUUCAUUGCUAACAGAUGCAGCUCUACUCAGAGCCAAGCGACUGCACGUAACACAUGCACAGAGAAAAAGAAAGGGAGCAGCUCUACCAACAACAUAAAACUAAGUUGAGUGUGCUUUUAACUGACAUGAAGAACAAGUAAUGAGCUAUCACAAAACAGAACUCCAGCUUCUAUAUUUAACAGAUAAUUCUGUAACCAUCGUAUUUUGCUUUCUUAGAUUAAUGCAGCUUUCUCUCUCUCUCUCUCUCUCUCUCUCUCUCUCUCUCUCUCUCGUAACAUCUGGGAGAGGAAAAGAUGAAAGCUGGUAUGAAGAGCUGAGAAAACGACUACAUGUUUGACAACUUCUUGCAGGACAGAAAUGUCUGGUCUUUUUGGCAUCUGAAUGCAAAUGAUUAGCCAGUUGCCAAGAACAGUCAUUCUAGUCUCAAUCAGAAGGCUCCAACUCCACCCUCAGCCAGAGUUUCAAGAUACGUUUUGAAAGGCUCCCACAUUUUUUCUGAUGUUAGCAUGCAAAGUUGUUGGGGUUUUUUGGCAGGGGAGGGGGAACCAGAUUAGGGAAGGUAUAGAAACUGAUGGAGCCUGUUACUUGCCACCUCUGUUCUUCAGACACCCAACCUAGUUCCACCUCUGAAACUGAGGAGGCCUUAGAUUGAAUGGGAGAUCACCUGGAAACUCCAUUGUAUGCCACCUUGACCUCUUUGGAGUAAUCAGAGGAUAAAAAUGUAAUAAAUUAAAAUAAACAUACUCAACAUAAUUAAGUACAGAACAUGACAAUCUGUGUAUUUAUUACAUUUUUAAACUGCCUUUCAAGACAAGAACUCCCGGAGCAGUAUGAAAACCUUAAAAUAGAAUAUUGCCCUUGACUGGGAAUCGGAUAGAUGGCAUGUUCUUGAUGGAGUUGCAUUUCCCCUGAAGGAACAGGUGCAUAGCUUGGGAAUACACCUAGAGACCUUGGCCCAGUAUACCUGAAGGAGCGUCUCCACCCCCAUCGUUCAGCCCGGACACUGAGGUCCAGCGCCAAGCGGCUUCUGGUGGUUCCCUCACUGCGAGAAGCAAAGCUACAGGGAACAAGGCAGAAGGCCUUUUUGGAAGUGGCACCCGCCCUGUGGAACACCCUCCCAUCAGAUGUCAAAGAGAUUAACAACUACCUGACAUUUAGAAGACAUCUGAAGGCAGCCCUGUUAAGGGAAGUUUUUAAUGUGUG